CGUAGGGUGCAAGCGUUGUCCGGAAUUAUUGGGCGUAAAGAGCUCGUAGGCGGUUUGUCACGUCUGCUGUGAAAACCCGAGGCUCAACCUCGGGCUUGCAGUGGGUACGGGCAGACUAGAGUGCGGUAGGGGAGAUUGGAAUUCCUGGUGUAGCGGUGGAAUGCGCAGAUAUCAGGAGGAACACCGAUGGCGAAGGCAGAUCUCUGGGCCGUAACUGACGCUGAGGAGCGAAAGCAUGGGGAGCAAACAGGCUUAGAUACCCUGGUAGUCCAUGCCGUAAACGUUGGGAACUAGAUGUGGGGACCAUUCCACGGUCUCCGUGUCGUAGCUAACGCAUUAAGUUCCCCGCCUGGGGAGUACGGCCGCAAGGUUA
rnacentral:rRNA from 1 species